rnacentral:tRNA from 1 species
GGUGGCUCAGUGGUAGAGUGCUUGCCUCUCAUGUAUGAGACCCUGGGUUCAAUUCCUCAGCACCA